UUAAGCGACUAAGCGUACACGGUGGAUGCCCUGGCAGUCAGAGGCGAUGAAGGACGUGCUAAUCUGCGAUAAGCGUCGGUAAGGUGAUAUGAACCGUUAUAACCGGCGAUUUCCGAAUGGGGAAACCCAGUGUGUUUCGACACACUAUCAUUAACUGAAUCCAUAGGUUAAUGAGGCGAACCGGGGGAACUGAAACAUCUAAGUACCCCGAGGAAAAGAAAUCAACCGAGAUUCCCCCAGUAGCGGCGAGCGAACGGGGAGCAGCCCAGAGCCUGAAUCAGUGUGUGUGUUAGUGGAAGCGUCUGGAAAGGCGCGCGAUACAGGGUGACAGCCCCGUACACAAAAAUGCACAUGCUGUGAGCUCGAUGAGUAGGGCGGGACACGUGGUAUCCUGUCUGAAUAUGGGGGGACCAUCCUCCAAGGCUAAAUACUCCUGACUGACCGAUAGUGAACCAGUACCGUGAGGGAAAGGCGAAAAGAACCCCGGCGAGGGGAGUGAAAAAGAACCUGAAACCGUGUACGUACAAGCAGUGGGAGCACGCUUAGGCGUGUGACUGCGUACCUUUUGUAUAAUGGGUCAGCGACUUAUAUUCUGUAGCAAGGUUAACCGAAUAGGGGAGCCGAAGGGAAACCGAGUCUUAACUGGGCGUUAAGUUGCAGGGUAUAGACCCGAAACCCGGUGAUCUAGCCAUGGGCAGGUUGAAGGUUGGGUAACACUAACUGGAGGACCGAACCGACUAAUGUUGAAAAAUUAGCGGAUGACUUGUGGCUGGGGGUGAAAGGCCAAUCAAACCGGGAGAUAGCUGGUUCUCCCCGAAAGCUAUUUAGGUAGCGCCUCGUGAAUUCAUCUCCGGGGGUAGAGCACUGUUUCGGCAAGGGGGUCAUCCCGACUUACCAACCCGAUGCAAACUGCGAAUACCGGAGAAUGUUAUCACGGGAGACACACGGCGGGUGCUAACGUCCGUCGUGAAGAGGGAAACAACCCAGACCGCCAGCUAAGGUCCCAAAGUCAUGGUUAAGUGGGAAACGAUGUGGGAAGGCCCAGACAGCCAGGAUGUUGGCUUAGAAGCAGCCAUCAUUUAAAGAAAGCGUAAUAGCUCACUGGUCGAGUCGGCCUGCGCGGAAGAUGUAACGGGGCUAAACCAUGCACCGAAGCUGCGGCAGCGACGCUGAUGCGUUGUUGGGUAGGGGAGCGUUCUGUAAGCCUGCGAAGGUGUGCUGUGAGGCAUGCUGGAGGUAUCAGAAGUGCGAAUGCUGACAUAAGUAACGAUAAAGCGGGUGAAAAGCCCGCUCGCCGGAAGACCAAGGGUUCCUGUCCAACGUUAAUCGGGGCAGGGUGAGUCGACCCCUAAGGCGAGGCCGAAAGGCGUAGUCGAUGGGAAACAGGUUAAUAUUCCUGUACUUGGUGUUACUGCGAAGGGGGGACGGAGAAGGCUAUGUUGGCCGGGCGACGGUUGUCCCGGUUUAAGCGUGUAGGCUGGUUUUCCAGGCAAAUCCGGAAAAUCAAGGCUGAGGCGUGAUGACGAGGCACUACGGUGCUGAAGCAACAAAUGCCCUGCUUCCAGGAAAAGCCUCUAAGCAUCAGGUAACAUCAAAUCGUACCCCAAACCGACACAGGUGGUCAGGUAGAGAAUACCAAGGCGCUUGAGAGAACUCGGGUGAAGGAACUAGGCAAAAUGGUGCCGUAACUUCGGGAGAAGGCACGCUGAUAUGUAGGUGAAGUCCCUCGCGGAUGGAGCUGAAAUCAGUCGAAGAUACCAGCUGGCUGCAACUGUUUAUUAAAAACACAGCACUGUGCAAACACGAAAGUGGACGUAUACGGUGUGACGCCUGCCCGGUGCCGGAAGGUUAAUUGAUGGGGUUAGCCGCAAGGCGAAGCUCUUGAUCGAAGCCCCGGUAAACGGCGGCCGUAACUAUAACGGUCCUAAGGUAGCGAAAUUCCUUGUCGGGUAAGUUCCGACCUGCACGAAUGGCGUAAUGAUGGCCAGGCUGUCUCCACCCGAGACUCAGUGAAAUUGAACUCGCUGUGAAGAUGCAGUGUACCCGCGGCAAGACGGAAAGACCCCGUGAACCUUUACUAUAGCUUGACACUGAACAUUGAGCCUUGAUGUGUAGGAUAGGUGGGAGGCUUAGAAGUGUGGACGCCAGUCUGCAUGGAGCCGACCUUGAAAUACCACCCUUUAAUGUUUGAUGUUCUAACGUUGACCCGUAAUCCGGGUUGCGGACAGUGUCUGGUGGGUAGUUUGACUGGGGCGGUCUCCUCCUAAAGAGUAACGGAGGAGCACGAAGGUUGGCUAAUCCUGGUCGGACAUCAGGAGGUUAGUGCAAUGGCAUAAGCCAGCUUGACUGCGAGCGUGACGGCGCGAGCAGGUGCGAAAGCAGGUCAUAGUGAUCCGGUGGUUCUGAAUGGAAGGGCCAUCGCUCAACGGAUAAAAGGUACUCCGGGGAUAACAGGCUGAUACCGCCCAAGAGUUCAUAUCGACGGCGGUGUUUGGCACCUCGAUGUCGGCUCAUCACAUCCUGGGGCUGAAGUAGGUCCCAAGGGUAUGGCUGUUCGCCAUUUAAAGUGGUACGCGAGCUGGGUUUAGAACGUCGUGAGACAGUUCGGUCCCUAUCUGCCGUGGGCGCUGGAGAACUGAGGGGGGCUGCUCCUAGUACGAGAGGACCGGAGUGGACGCAUCACUGGUGUUCGGGUUGUCAUGCCAAUGGCACUGCCCGGUAGCUAAAUGCGGAAGAGAUAAGUGCUGAAAGCAUCUAAGCACGAAACUUGCCCCGAGAUGAGUUCUCCCUGACUCC
rnacentral:rRNA from 1 species